GUAUCUCAGGGUUCACAAUGAAAGAGAAAAGGUAAGCUUAAUUAAUGGGUUCUGCAAUAGUUCUCCAAUAGAUUUUUGUGCUGUAAGAAGCUAGUGGCUAAUAGAAUUCAUCAAAUGUUUUUUUCCAGAAUAACUUGGAUCAAGUUUUAUUACAAAGGCAAUAAAAGAGGCACAAAGUAUUCUAUUAUAACUUGCAAUCAACUAAGUGGCUUCUUCAGAGCUGUAACUUUAAAGUACUGUAAAUAAGGCAGGGAAACACGAAGCAAUUAAAAACAAUGUAUAUGAAAAAAACUUCUUUACCAGUCAUAUGCAAGGGUAAUGGUAGCAAAUACAAAGAUCUUUUGACUAAGUUAUCACUUGACUGAUUAAAUGCUUCUAACAAGAAAGCAAAUACAAGCAUAUUCUGCACAUGCUGUAGUUGAAAAAGGGACAAAACAAGCAGAUGCUCAAGGCCAGUGAAGGCAUUUUAUGAAAGAAUGUAUUCCUCAUAUUAUUAUUUAUCUGUAGGCUGCAGCAGAUUGCACCAAAUGACAGAUGUUUAGAAAAAAAAUUAAUCUCUGUGUGGAGAUAUCUCCACCUCUUCACAAGCAUUAGAACUGCCAGAGUGCAGAUUUGUGUCAGUGCUGAGAACAUAUACGUGGGAAACAGAGCAGCAGACUGCAUAUAAAUAUCAGAAAGCUGGCUGCACCUUUGGAUUCUUCAUUCUCCUUCCAAAAGAGAAUUCUACCAGUACCAUAAAAAAUGACAGCCCUAAAAUUUGUGAGGGAGGUUCUCUGAGUACCACUGUUAGUGGGAAAGAGCAUUUCAUUUUGCGCUAGCAACGAUGGACAUGAACAAUCUUCAGUGUUUCAUCAGCUGUGUUCUGAGAACUUUUGGACAUGACACACUCCAGCAGAGAUCAUAAUGGUUUCUGUGGGACUAAUCAGGAGGCAUUACUUCUGGAAUGACCUGUGUGAUGCACUGAAGUUGCCUGCAACAGCCUAAAAGAGAAGACGUUAUUAUCAUCUUACAGACCAGAAGAAAUGUUCUUGUACUACAGAAGAAAUGUUCUUGCACUACAAAGAGCUGUUUGGAAGUGGUGCUCAGGGAUAUGAUUUAGCAGAGGGUUGUUAGAGUUAAGGUUCUGGUUAGGCUGCGGUUGGACUUGAUGAUCUUCAAGUUCUUUUCCAACCUGGGUAAUUCUAUGAUUCUAUACUUUGAAAUAAUUAAACAUAAACAUCAUUCCUUCUGGAAAAGUUUGGUUCAUGGAAUUACAGAAUCACAGAAUACCUAAAGUUAGAAAGGACCUUACAGAUCAUCGAGCUCCAAGCCACCUCAAAGGACACUGUGUGUGUCUUUAUGUGUUACUAUCUUUUAAAAUAAAAUUCUAAACAAGGCAUACUCACAACAUAUCUUAAAAUAGAAUCUCAGGGCUUUAAAAAGCCCUGCUUUUAUAAACUAACAAGUGAAUCACGUUUUUAUUGAACAACACACAUUUUACAGUGAGGUUUAGGUCAGUUAAACAUUGUUAAUUACAAUUUUAUUCUAUCUUGAGGCAAAAAAAAUAAAGCAGAAUAUUGCCAGUUACUAAAUUGUAAAAGCUGUCAUUCUCCAUGGUCAUUUGCUUGAUAAUAAGAUCCACAGAUGUGCUCACAGUAUUAAUAUAUAAAAAAAUAUUCUUGUCUUUAUAGCUCCUAUUUUCAGCCAAUGAGAAAAAUUAGAGGUUUGUUAUUUCAACAGACUGAAAUAUAAACUAUUCAUGUACAUUCUUUCUGCAGUGUAUGUGUAUAAUUCCUAUUAUUUUUAUUGGCAGUAACACACGACCAUUUGAAGGCAGAAUAAACUCCAUAAAGUGCAAUUAGUUGUUCAGUUUUGCAAGCAUUUUUCUAUGCCAGUGUUUUAAAGGGCCUUCAAAGCACUUAAAAUUACUCCCUCCAUGUGGUGGCAAACUAAGACACAACUUGCCAGAAUAAUGCUGAUUGUUAGCUAACAUGUAAAGAGAGAAAUCAGCCUUUUACAGGAAUGUAUUCUCAAGUAAAUUCUGUUUUUAUUGGUCAGGACCCAGCCCAGCGCUGUCUGUGCCCUUGUGUGUUUGGUGGAGCAGGAGAAAAACAUUCUCCUUCAUUCUUGUUCUAGCAAUAUGACUUCUGGAAAUAAAGACACCUGCCCUGCGCUGCUGGGAGUUCCAUCAUUAACUGCUUCAGUGGAAGCAAAUCCAACUCAAGAUAUAAAAAGUUAUCUUUCUUGUUGGGAGCUGAUUUACAAUAACAUCCAUUUUCUCAAACUGGGUCUUGUCAAGUGAGGGUUUGUUGUACCCUUCAUGUCAAAAAGAACCGGAAAUGCGUGCUAACAACCACACAGACUAUCAAACUAACUGUCAAAACCCAGAGAUGCAGUCUCUCAAUAUUAAAAACUCCCUCCCUCUACCACAGUAAAGAACAGCCAUGACAAGAGCAGCACAAGCAGUGACAGCACCAAUACACCACUGGGUUGGUCAGGCAGUGGAUCUGCCUGUCCAUCCAGGGCUGACUGUCAGACAGCUCAGAUGUGGGGGUUAAAGAAAGAAUCUGAAGCAGUCUCAGCACAGGAAGGAUUUGGCAAAAGGUAUUAAAGUAGUUACUGUCACACUGAAUCACACUGACAAAUUUAUUUUGUUGGACAGAGAGGAUAGGGAAUACUAAACCAUAUUGAAAUAAAAUAGCUAUAAACAAUUUUUUCCACUAAUGAAAUGCUCCAGAGGGAAAGGAAUGAGUGUGCCUGUAAGGGAGGCAGAAAGCCCCUUGAGAGCUUGAUUGGAAUCCCUAAAUAAAAACAAGAUUGUGUUUGGGAACUGAAACACACAAAAAGUAUUUAAAAAAUAAUAGUAAAUAGCAGAAAUACCCUAAUGUGUAUUUGACAAACCUGACAUACAAAAGAAAUUAACUGUCUUGACAGAGUGGACAACAAAUGUACUGUACAGACAGGAAGGAGGCUGCAGUUACAGGACCACUCAUAUGGAGUCCUAAUAAGGGGUUAAAAAUCUGAAUAUAAGUUCCCUUUUUUUUCUCUAGCUGUGGAAAAGGAGAACACAUAUAUUAGUAACAGUUAAGACAUAAAGGAUGAGAAAAUGUUAGACACAAGGGAAAUGAUAAACACCAUUCAGCCACAUGCAAACUUGGCAUUAAUAAUGACAUCCAUGGAAUACAAACCUGUUCUACUGUUGAGUGCUAAUAGCUCUGUUAGGAAAAUAAAUAAUUCGUAUCUGCAAGUAGCAAAGGGCUUUCCAUAAAGCUUUCCAUAAUGUUUUCUCUCUUCUUUUGUAUUUUUUUUUCCCUUCAGCAGAUAAUAAAGAUGGUUUUGAUGAGUCAAAAGAAGCCCAAACGUGCCUUCUAGUGUUUUGGAAGAGCUCACAGCAACAGACUACCACCAAGAGCAUGACUAGAGAGAGUAGAGGGCAGGCACACAAACUGUGCUGAAACAGGAAACUGAGAGCGCUGAAGCUGAACUAGCCUUCCACUAACAAUCAUAUGAGCUACCAACUGUAUGAAAUACAGAACAUACGUGGAAAAAAAUAAAGGAAUUUAUU